ACUGAGGAGCGUCGAUCGAAACUGCCGUUCUUGAGGAUUGCAGAGGAGACUGGAAUUCCCGGUGUAGCGGCGAAAUGUGUAGAGAUCGGGAGGAACACCGGUGGCGAAGGCGGGUCUCUGGGCAAUUCCUGACGCUGAGGCGCGAAAGCGUGGGGAGCAAACGGGAUUAGAUACCCCGGUAGUCCACGCUGUAAACGAUGACGACUAGGUGUGGGGGGGUUCAGUCCCUUCCGUGCCGCAGCUAACGCAUUAAGUCGUCCGCCUGGGGAGUACGGCCGCAAGGUUGAAACUCAAAGGAAUUGACGGGGGCCCGCACAAGCGGUGGAGCAUGUGGUUCAAUUCGAUGCAGAGCGAAGAACCUUACCUGGGCUUGACAUGUAGGAAGUAGAAACCGGAAACGGGGACAACCUG
rnacentral:rRNA from 1 species